rnacentral:rRNA from 1 species
UACGGAGGGUGCGAGCGUUGUCCGGAAUCAUUGGGCGUAAAGGGCGCGUAGGUGGUGGCUUAAGCGUGCGGUGAAAGCUCGGGGCUCAACCCCGAGUCGGCCGUGCGAACUGGGCUCACUGGAGCAUAGUAGAGGCAGGUGGAAUUCCGGGUGUAGCGGUGGAAUGCGUAGAGAUCCGGAGGAACACCGACGGCGCAGGCAGCGUCCUGGCCGCUUGCUGACACUGAGGCACGAAAGCUGGGGGAGCAAACAGG